rnacentral:lncRNA from 1 species
CUCCACUAGACAAAGGGCUGCAAGGUGACACACUGCGGCUUCCUCCUCCUGGCAGACAGAGGGACCAAGGAUGGGGCAGAGGGAAGUGUCCCAGGCCCUUGUGGGCACCAGGUGGCUCCAAGUGUCAGAGAAGCCUGUGGCACUUUGGACUUGUCUUCUCUGUGCCGGACAGAGGCAGCUAGAUCAGUCUCACAGGACUGGUUCUGCCUGGUGCCACCCUGGACCACAAUGGAAUCUGGCCCAUCACCUGGAUCUGGCACAGGAGCAGGCACGGAAAAGGGCCCACCUCAGGCAAGACACACAGGUCUCACAAACCUGCCAUGAGGGCUGUGUAAAUAAGCCUUGGAUUUGGCCUUGACAAUGGAUGGAAAAGAAACCAUGCGCUCUUGCUAGCAGUUCACAGCACAACUCAAGAUCCUGUUAUACAAAAAUGAUCAUUCCAACUCAGGUCAGAAGAGGAAAGAAGCAAAGCAGCUCUUGGGAGGAGAAAAGAUAACAUGAAUGAAUAUAAGGAGAGAGAGAGAGAGGGAUCAUAUGGAAUAUGAAUCCAAAGAAAAACUUCAAUUUCAGGUUCUUUUAAGACAAAAAAUGCCUCCUGAGAAGAUUUUAUCAAACUCUAACCAAAAAGAGGAAAAAGAAAAGACAUUUCUUGAAGCAAUAAUGAGAUAAUGGCACAGAAAUAACCUAACAGCUCUAUUUUCAUUCCUAUUGAUCAAUGCUAUUGAUCUAGAGACUCAGUGAUUAUCAAAUACCCAAUGGAUUUAGUAUUGUGAAAGAAAAGAUCAAUAACAAUGCCUGUCAUUGAGUAGAACAAGCUGAAGAUUAUUUCAAAUUCAUGUGUAUCCUGAUGCCAUGGUUUACUAGACUGAAGAUAAUUUAUUAAAAAGAUACAAAGAAGUAUUGCUUCAAAACUAAUUGUAAAAAAACUUUCAGUGCUGUUUGAACAAAUAAGGUAGUCAUAAAGUUGCCAAUGUCUUUAGAUCUGUGGUCUUCAAUCACCUUCAUAUAGAUGAAUCAGUCUUCUAGACUUUAUUUUGGCAAGUCCUGUGUGAUGACUGUUGGAUUCCUUAGGGCACAGUAGGGGUACCUAAAAAAUAAUCAUGAUCCCCAGGAAGCACUGUUGAUGUUCCAGAUAGUUCUUUGUAGCUUGUCAAAGGGAAGAUGGUAAUAGUGGCUUUGGCAGUAUCCCAGUGAGAGAAAACACAAAGGAAGUUUCUAAGAUUACAAGCAAUAAUACUACCUAUGUUGAGAUUUGG